AUCCAAGUGCACGGGCUUAACGUAUACCAGUGAGGAUUCGUCCGAGGUUAUGUUUUUGCUAGUUGAAAACUAUCAACUGACUGCUCUUCAUGGACUCACGUUCGUGAAGGAAUUUUUGGAACCAAACAACACUCUUG
rnacentral:snRNA from 1 species